rnacentral:tRNA from 1 species
GCCUCCGUAGCUCAAUUGGUAGAGCAUCUGACUUGUAAUCAGAAGGUUCUGGGUUCGAUUCCCAGCGGGGGCU